CACCAGAAGCCGGGAGGGGAUUAGCCGGAACCGGAUUGAAUGGAUUGGCCACCGGCUGCAGGAAUUCAGGCCUGACGUCUGGGUUAGAGUCCCCGGACGCCGGCCGGGGAUCUCGAGUGCUUACUUCUCUUCCAGAAAUGGAACCAGCUCUCCUGCCAACUCAAGGGUCUAGAUUUCCUCCCAGCACCGAGGGAUCCUAGACUCUUAAUUCGACACCCUACACCAGCUUCACAUAAGGUCCUUGGAUCCGAGCUCCAAGCUCUGAUCUAGGCCCUCAGUUUAUCUUCUGGACCUAGGCGUCUUCCAGGCUUCCAAUUCCCGUUCAAGACUAAGACGCCCAAGGACAAGUCGUAGCAAGCCAAACUGGAGUCCAGACUAGUCCCAGGCUGCACCCAGGGGAGGAGGCACCAGGAAUCUUCUGACCCAGGCAACCAGCCUGCUUCUCCUGAAAAGUCUGCCUUCGGUCCCGAGCCUGGAAGGCCCUUUGGGGCCAGGAGACACUGGAUCUUCCCCUCCAUUUCUGCCCAGGGGCUGGGCCAGGUGGUCAUUGCAGCAAGAGGGACUAACAGUGGGACCUACUACUCCACGUUGGGGCUUCUACUAGCCUUGGACUUGGCUGCUCAACUUUUCACCCCAAUCUGGAGGGCCCCAUUUGGGGAUGAUGAGAAGCAGAGCAGACGUUCUCAUGGACCAACUCCGCGCCAUCUAGGCCUGCAACAGCACGCCCGUUCCAAUUACAUUCCCUACGCGGCCUCUGAAGCACAAUAUCUAGCCGUGCUGUCAUCCCGCCCGUGCGCCUCCUUUCUCGGUUCCACUCAGCCUGGGAAACGGAAGAUCAACGCGCCAGGCGGCUGCAAAGUCGGUUUCCUAUUGGCCAGAGCCGCAAAAGCUGCGCCCGCCCGUCCCGCCUCUC
rnacentral:lncRNA from 1 species